rnacentral:rRNA from 1 species
UGGGGAAUAUUGCNGCAAUGGGGGGAACCCUGACGCAGCCAUGCCGCGUGAAUGAAGAAGGCCUUAGGGUUGUAAAGUUCUUUCGGUAUUGAGGAAGGUUGAUGUGUUAAUAGCACAUCAAAUUGACGUUAAAUACAGAAGAAGCACCGGCUAACUCCGUGCCAGCAGCCGCGGUAAUACGGAGGGUGCGAGCGUUAAUCGGAAUAACUUGGCGUAAAGGGCACGCAGGCGGUUAUUUAAGUGAGGUGUGAAAGCCCCGGGCUUAACCUGGGAAUUGCAUUUCAGACUGGGUAACUAGAGUACUUUAGGGAGGGGUAGAAUUCCACGUGUAGCGGUGAAAUGCGUAGAGAUGUGGAGGAAUACCGAAGGCGAAGGCAGCCCCUUGGGAAUGUACUGACGCUCAUGUGCGAAAGCGUGGGGAGCAAACAGGAUUAGAUACCCUGGUAGUCCACGCUGUAAACGCUGUCGAUUUGGGGGUUGGGGUUUAACUCUGGCGCCCGUAGCUAACGUGAUAAAUCGACCGCCUGGGGAGUACGGCCGCAAGGUUA